GAAGAGGAGAGAGGAGAGAGAAACAGUGGGCAAAGAAAGACACGGAGCCCCGACCUUGCUGCUGCUGCUGCUGCUGUCCCCAACGCCGCCACUGAGAAGGGAAAGGAGGAGAGGUAGGAAAGAGCACCGGGAGGGCAAGGGGAGCCGUGAAAAGACACGCGGCUGAGCCCGACCGAGCCCCCCCCCCCCCCCCCCGCGGCUAGUGCGCCAAAAGCAGGCAGAGGAAGCAAGAGGAAGGCCGCACAACUCCCCAGCGCCGGGGGAAGAGGAGGAGAGGGACGCCCGGCCACCCGGACGGCUAGUGCACCAGAAGCAGGCUGAACCCAGAGGGAAACCUGCUGGGAAAAGACCUCACCUUUUUCUAUUUUUUAUUCUUUAUUUCCUUUUUUAUACUAUUUUUUUCUUCUUUUUAAAUAUAUAUAAUUUUUUUAUAAUAUUAUAUUAUUACCAUUAACUCUAUCCUCUAUUUUUUAAUAUAUAAAACUUUCCCCCUUUCAUAUAUUUUAACCCCCUUUUUAACCCCCCCUUUUUUCCUUUCCCACUUCCCUAAGUCUUCAGCCCUUUCACUAAAUUACUAUUACUACCAUUACAUCCAUAUAUUACUUAAAAACACAUUUUCCAUCCCCCCCAAAAAGGGAGGGACUUUUUUGUUGCUGUUGUCCUCUUUCCUUCCCAAUAUUUUUUACUUUAUUUUUACCAGACAUAUAAAAAAACGCUGUAAAAAUGCUUUUUUACAAAAUGUUUUGAAAAAUACAUUGAAUUUGGCAUAGCUCACUGUUGCCACCUAGUGCCACAUUUGUAUACUACACUUUACAACACAUUUAAAACCUUUUAUUUGCAGCUGUGUAGCUGAGUCCCUGAUGAAGCCCUGAGGCCAGGAGCGCUGCUCUUCUAGCUUAGCUCCAGCCCUCAACAGGAGGACUUAUCUUACACAACACGGGAUACACCACGGGAAAGGAGCGUUUGAGAAACUCGCCAAAUCUUCCAGAGGGAGCAAGGGAGAUUAACAGUGGCACAACUGGCACCCUGCACAGACUGAGGACACAUUAUUCCGUUGCCAGAGGAGGAACCAUGUUGGUCUGCUGCUGCAGCAACGACAACCAUUCUCUUUGUGUCAUUAUUGAGAUCAAAUGAGCACUUUCACCACACACUUUUCGGAACUAGCUAAAAUAGUCUUGUUUAAGUAAGCCUACCCAGACAUUGAGAAUGUUGAGAUAAUUUUAAUCUGUUUUAAUAUUUUAGCUUUUGUAUGUUUUAAAGGAUGGC